CGGGUUGAAUAUCGACCACAGUCUUUGGGCCAAGAUUAAUGGUUCUUCCGUCAGCCCUAAUCAGAAGAUUGAGUCCUCUGGAUCCAGCCUCGCCACCUGGAAAAAGUUAAAAAAUGAGCCAUGAAUAAAAAACGACGGAAGAAGCGAAAGCGUAGUGAUACUAUGAUAAACAAUACAGACAGACAAUUCAGAAUAAUUCGGUUUUGAGAAAGAGUGAGCCAAAUACGUUUAAAUAAGGAUGCUGAUACAUUAUCCAUGUAUUAAAAAAAGGAAGACAUCUCCUGAAGCAGACCAUAUUAUACACAAGCGUGUCGUUUACAAAUCGCCAAAAACUAGGCAACCACUAUAAAAAUGGUGGCCAUCAGGCAGUAGUAAUUUUUGGGUAUGGGGCCAUAUUAUUAUAUGCAUUAGCAGUCCAGGUAUAUUUAUUAAGUUCGUGGAUGUUAUGCACUAAUGUGUUAAAAGACUAAACUAUAUUAGAAAUUUUUUUUUAAUUAAAUUUUUUUAAAGCAAAUAUUUUUUAUCUAAUUUUAAGUACGCUCCCACUGUUUCUACAAUCAACUAGGUGGCAUUAUUGGUUAGCAACUGCGCAUGGCAAUUUCCCAUUGAAGGUCCCACAUAAUAAGUUAACAUUACUGUCAAUUUUAUUUUCAAAGUAAAAAUAAUGUACACAAACAAAUUUUAGAGUCUACCAGGUGAUAAAGGACAAAAGGGUCAAACAGGAAGUGCAGGCAUCGAUGUGAUACAAGCCCUUAAGGGCUUUAAAAAAUCAGUGACAACUCUACGAGGAGGGACGCUAGGCUACGCCGAGAUCGUAGCUGUCAAGGGAGUGCCUGGAGAGCCAGGUCUUCCAGAACUACUGGGUUCUUCAGGUCGCGAGGGUCCCUCGGGACACGAUGGUAGGCAGGAAAUGCCAGCGGAACCUGGACCAGCAGGUGAGAGGAGCGAACCUGGUCCUCCUGGACCGCUUAGAAUUGAUGGACUUACCGGACCAAAGAUUCAGGAUGCCUUUUAAGUGAACAAAAAAACGUAACGGUGCUGGCUUUACCUGAACGAAUGAAAAAAGCUGUACUUGAUGUUAUAGAUGGGUGCAAGCUGGGAACCACGGCUGCAAAAUACGACCUCAACAAAAUGACUUUGUUGCAAAAUUGAAACAGAAAGGAGACUUUAGGCCAAACUUUACGAGAAUGAAUUAUGGGUUUACAUCGUCAAAAAAAAAAGAAAAUUCUUCCAAAUUAGGCAAAAAAUGAGGAAGCUUCAUACGAAUGACUCCAUUAACUUAAAGUUAUUGUAUCGAACCCUGGGACCGACCAGUCUUGCUCGGGCGACAACCUUAAUUCAACACACCGUUGGGACUUUAUAAUUUACUUAGACAGGAGUGCAGACUGUCAAAGAAAGAAAAAAAGCAAGAAAGGAAAAAAGCAAAGUUCCUUUAGGUGAGAGAGGCUAAACCAUCACGGGCUUGUGCAUGGUAAAUAACAUAUAUGACACUUGGAGAGCCACCAAGAUCUAGAGUAGCUGAAUCACUAAUUCACACUUGCUUACUGAUGAUGACUUGGCUCUCAUGGCAAGAGUUACCGAUUUACCCUACCCCAUCACCACGAACGGCAGUCGAUGCAACUUCAGCUAUAAAUAAGAAACGUACGCCAGAAAUGUCUUGCUCCUAUAAGAAGAAAUAAGGCCACAUCGCAAACGUCACAUUUAAAGGAAACAUAAGGAAGAAUUUUUUUUAUAAAAGGUAAAAAACACGAAAUCUACAGCAUCACAAAUACAUUUAAUAAAAUAACAAAGGUUACAUGUUUCGCUCGACUAGAGCAUCAUCAGACCUAAACAAUAAUUAAAAUUAUGUAACCCGAAAACAGGAGAAUUCAACAAAAACUUACCAUAACAUACACAAAACACCUAAUAUUUAAGUAAACAAAGAUUACAAUAAAGUGGCACUAUCUAUGUACAAAGAACUCAACUAAACAAUCAAAUCCUUUAUACAUUUCAGAAAUCUAACCAUCAUUUAAGAGUCUAGAACUACUUGAGGUUAUUAAAAACUAGGUGGCCAUCAAAAUCAAACCUUUCAUUAACACAGGACAGAUCUGGGCUUUUAAAAGCUUUACUAAUCUCCAUUGUCUCCAACAAGUCUAGUUUUUUACUUUUGUUGCAUUGAUGCAGUAUUUUUAUAUUUUGGCUGUCAGGAAAAUCAUGUCUGGAGUCGAGAAGGUGAUUAGCAAAAGCUGAUCUGGUCACUGUGAUUUCGGUAUUUUUAAAUUUAUUGUAUUGGGCCUUGUGUUCACUAAUCCUAGUAGAAAUCUUCCUACCAGACUGGCCGACGUACACUGCAGGGCACUCUUUACACCUAAUCUCAUAAACUCCUGGAGAAGAUAGCGGGGGUAGUUUAUCUUUAGUUUUAAUUAGAUGUCUAUUUAAGGUAUUAUUGGUUUUAAAA